AAUCAACGCUGGCGGCGUGCCUAACACAUGCAAGUCGAGCGCGAAAGGGGAGCAAUCCCCAAGUAGAGCGGCGAACGGGUGAGUAACGCGUGGGUAAUCUGCCUCCGAGUGGGGAACAACACCGGGAAACUGGUGCUAAUACCGCAUGACAUCGUUGGACCUUCGGAUCUGACGAUCAAAGCCGGGGACCGCAAGGCCUGGCGCUUGGAGAGGAGCCCGCGUCCGAUUAGCAGUUGGUGGGGUAAUGGCCCACCAAGGCUACGAUCGGUAGCCGGCCUGAGAGGGCGGACGGCCACACUGGGACUGAGACACGGCCCAGACUCCUACGGGAGGCAGCAGUGGGGAAUUUUCGCAAUGGGCGAAAGCCUGACGAAGCAACGCCGCGUGGAGGAUGAAGGCC
rnacentral:rRNA from 1 species